GACAUAUAAAAGGAAGUCUUAUUUGUUUGAAAUUGUUGCUAAUGGAUUCACUGGUAUUGAUGUUGAUAAAAUGGACUACUUUGCCCGUGAUGCCCGUGGUGUGGGACUACCUAACAAUUUUGAUUGGAGGCGGUAUACACAAACUGCUAAAAUUUUGGAAUGUGAUGAUGGAUUUCAUCAUAUCUGCUCUAGAGAAAAAGAUGCACUCAAUCUUUAUGAGCUAUUUCACACAAGGAACCUGCUGCACCGCACUGUGUACUGGCACAAGACAGUUGCAGUCAUACAGGAGAUGAUGCUACUUGCAUUAGUUAAAGCUAACAAAUAUAUUCGAGUCAAUGGUAGACCAUUACUUGAAUGUUGGGAAUAUAAGGAUUCCUUUCAAUUGCUUGAUGAUACAAUUGAAGAUUUUAUAAUGAAGAAAACCGAAAACAAUCAUGUGAAAAUAGUAAGUUUCCAAUCACUUAAAAUAUUUUUUGCUCCCACUUUAGCAAAUAACUGCAGCUGAUGGAGCUAAUAAGAAAGCAAGGGAUUAUUUUCUGAAAAUCAAGGAAAGAAAAAUAUGGAAGUUUGUUGGACGCCAUCAGGAUCCUAAACUUAAAAAAGAAGAUAUAGCAAUUUGUGUUGCUAAAACUAUAAAUGAAAUCACAAGUGAAGAAAUUAAAAACAAUUUAAAGUCAAUUGACACAAAAUUUAAUUAUGGAAUGGGAGAAGAUGACCCAAUACAAUUUCAUUACUUUUAUGGCAAAAUGUAUUCAACUUAUCCGUUUCAUCUUCAUAAGGAUGAAGUUUCUAGAUUCCUUCCUGCUCAUGGAGAAUUUCAAGAAACUGCAGUUCUUUGGUAUUAUUGUGAUGAUGAUGCAACCGUCACAGCGGCUUUGUGGGAAUAUUUUAAUUUGAGUAAACUUAAACCUACUUUCAAAGAUGCAUUAGAAACAGUUUAUGCUAAAAGACAGAAUAGUGAGCCUGUAGAUGAGGAUUUGAAAGCUAAAAUUAAAAGGUUUCGAAGUGAACAAUGAAGUGCAGAAGUGGACAAUAGAAUAGAUUUGCAAUUUGGAAUUUUUUUAGUGAUUACAAUAAUUUUUAUGCUUUUAUUUUUUAGUUAAGUUUUACAAGAUGUGUGAACAUAGGUCAAAAAUAAAAUAAAAACA